AUUGAACGCUGGCGGCAUGCCUUACACAUGCAAGUCGAACGGGAGCACGGGCGCUUGCACCCGGUGGCGAGUGGCGAACGGGUGAGUAAUACAUCGGAACGUACCUUAUCGUGGGGGAUAACGCAGCGAAAGCUGUGCUAAUACCGCAUACGCCCUGAGGGGGAAAGCGGGGGAUCGCAAGACCUCGCGCGAUUAGAGCGGCCGAUGCCUGAUUAGCUUGUUGGUGGGGUAAAAGCCCACCAAGGCGACGAUCAGUAGCUGGUCUGAGAGGACGAUCAGCCACACUGGGACUGAGACACGGCCCAGACUCCUACGGGAGGCAGCAGUGGGGAAUUUUGGACAAUGGGGGCAACCCUGAUCCAGCAAUGCCGCGUGAGUGAAGAAGGCCUUCGGGUUGUAAAGCUCUUUUGUCAGGGAAGAAACACCGGCUCUAACACAGUCCGGGAAUGACGGUACCUGAAGAAUAAGCACCGGCUAACUACGUGCCAGCAGCCGCAGUAA
rnacentral:rRNA from 1 species